rnacentral:rRNA from 1 species
CAGCAGCCGCGGUAAUACGAAGGGGGCUAGCGUUGCUCGGAAUGACUGGGCGUAAAGGGCGCGUAGGCGGUUCACGCAGUCAGAUGUGAAAUUCCUGGGCUUAACCUGGGGGCUGCAUUUGAGACGCGUGGGCUUGAGUGUGAAAGAGGGUCGUGGAAUUCCCAGUGUAGAGGUGAAAUUCGUAGAUAUUGGGAAGAACACCGGUGGCGAAGGCGGCGACCUGGUUCACAACUGACGCUGAGGCGCGAAAGCGUGGGGAGCAAACAGGAUUAGAUACCCCCGUAGUCCCUGUCUCUUAUAA